GGGACCCCAUCACUGUGACCCCUCCCUGGGACCCUCACGCACAGCCUGGUAUCGGGGGACUGGGUCUCCACGGUGGAGUCGGAAGUCCCUCUCCAGGAGCGCCAAUCUACACCCCACCCGACACGGCCUUGACGUCCGAGAACCCCUUGUUCUUGCUGCAGCGCUGCACCCACAGUUCCCAAACCUCACGACACCCACAACUCGCUGGGGUGAAUUCUGGAAACAGGGCGAGUUGGGCACGGUGUCCAAUUCCACUGCUCCAAAACACCCCUAAGACAACGGCCAGGGCUCCUUUAAGGGUUUAGUCCAUGAGGAGAAGAGACUAGGAAGAAGACGGUGGACACAGGAGGAGGAGAAACUUCUGGAAGAUGGAAGCUGAUCAACUCUCCAUCCAGACAGGUGAUUUGUGGGCCGUCCGGUUAGGAAGCAAGAGGGCUCGAGCAGGAAGGACAUUCGCAGGUCCCGGGCUCCCUGACGCACGAAGCUUGCCCCAUCACAGGAACGGCAUGAUCUGUGAGGACUGGGGAUCCUGGGGACCCGCUCCUGCUCACAGAGUGACACCACGUUCCUGCAGGGCUCCCGAGCUCACGCAGCGCUUCUAAGCAAUCAUCAUAUUUUGUCACCUGUGCAGCCCGGAUACAGCAGGAUGGGCCCAAAUUACAGCGGCCGGCACAGAGAGAAGCCGAGUGAUUCCAUGAGAUUACAUGGCUGAUGAGUGACAGGGCCAGAGCUCAAACUCAGACCUUCCGCCUCCAAGUCGAGUUGCCAUCCCACCCGGGCGUGGUCUGGAACCCUCUGCGGCCUGGGUAGCUGUGGGUGAUGGCAGCCCCCUGGAGUGACACAGGCAUUGGCAGCCUGGCCAUUGAGGUGGCUUCUGAGUCCACAGGGAGACACAGCCCUGCAAGUCAGGCUUUUUCAAGAGAGAAGGAGAUCCCCAGGUUCCAAAAGCCACCUUUGUGCUUCAGGAGGCCUGUCUGGGGCCACAGGUCCUGCCGUCACCAUCAGGGGAGCUCAGACAUGCCUGUGGAGGGCCCCGACCAGGGGGACCAGCCUCCAGGGCAGCCGCCAGGGACAGGAGAGCUGUCACAGCAGGGACCUCCAGUGAGCUCAGGACCCCAGCCCACACUGGCUAAACCUGGUGACGUGGUGGCUGAAAACGCCAAGGUGUGCAGAGGCAAGGAACAAGAGGAGAGGCUCGUGCCAGUCAGGGGCUGUGUCCCCUAGAUGCAUAUGUCGACAUCCUGACCCCCUCAGGAUGCGACUGUAUUUGGAGACUGGGCCUUUAAAGAGGUGGUCAAGGUAAAACGAGGCCCUUAGGGUGGGCCCUGAUCCAGUGUGACUGGUGCCCUCAUGAGAGAGGAGAUGAGGACACACACACGCACAGAGGUAAUACCAUGUGAGGACACAGGGGGAAGAUGACAGUGUCCACACCCCAAGGAGAGAGGCAUCAGGAGGAACCAGCCCUGCUAACACCUUAAUCUCCAACUUCCAGCCUCCAGGAUGGAGGAAGAACAUGUUUCUGUUGUUUAAGCCCCUGGUCUGUGGUAUUUGACUGACUGACACUGGAACCUGGGAGAAGGCCACACCCAGAGACCCUCCCAGGUUACCAGGAGCCUCGAUAGAAGCAGAGAAAUGAGGCCAUGGCCUGUGCAAGCCAAGAGAGCUGGGGAUACCUUCCUUGGUCCCCACCCCACUCCCAGGUGGUAAGGAAGGGAUCCAUCAGGAAGGUCUGCCCUCUGGGGAGAGCGAGCGGGAUGCCUGGGGGCUGCAGUAGGGGUGGGAGGCUGUGCAGGGCUGGGGAGCGGGCAGGUGGAGGCCGAGCCUCCGAGGGCCCUGAGGCCAGGGGUGAGGGUCGGGGGAUAGCUCAGGGCCCCCACGCCAUCAAGGGGUCAUCAGCCAUGGGCUCCAGCAGUAGAAGGCCCACGACUCCCAGGACAGCAGCGCGGAACGUGCCGGGGCCUGACCGUCCUCCCCUGUCCACCUGAGGGCGUAUAAAGUUCCCCAUGCUCGCGUCUCCCGGCCACUUGCCUGGGAAGGCAGAGGCUUGUCUGGGUCUGCUGAGAGGGGUGGGCGCCUAGAACUACGCUUGGCACACAGCAGGCCCUCAGGAAACAGCUGUUCAAUGAAUGAAUGGGUGGAGGAGAAAUCCUGAAAACUGCGUUUACACAGUCAGUCUCCUGUGAGAGGCCGCAUCACCCCCAGUUGGCGGGUUCGCCCCACCAGCCUUGGCGGGGGCAUGAGAACGAGACAGGGGUCAUUUCGUCCUGAAGCUGGGGAGGGGAGCCUGCCCAUAAGUGGCAAGGGCAUUCCAUCCAGGUCCUGGGCAUGGGGAGAGGCUCACAUGGCCCUUGGGCUCCGUUUGUCACAGCCUGGGAUGCUGGCUUUCCUGGCACUGAGAGAGUGACUGCCUGAAGCGGUGGGCGCUGGGGAGGCUGUCGGUGGGAAGGGGGCUGGUGUGGUGCCCAGGAUGUCACUGCUAUUAGAACAGGUCAGUGUAGACCCCCUCUGCCCACCCGCGGGUCCCUCCAGACCAUCCUGGGGACUGUACAUAUACAGGACUCUAGGACACCUGGUGUGGACCCACCACGUUCGGUUUGGACUCAGUGAGCUGGGAACAUGGACGCGUGUUGGCUGCUGCCUCGUGGCACCCUGGGGCACCCGUGGAGCACCUACUGAGGCUGGAUAGGUCCCCACCCCGAGUUUGGAGUCCUCGUCUGUAAAUCGGGGCAAGCAAGCCCCCUGGGGGGGUUGUGAGGUGCACCACGAAGGUGUCAGCAGAGCCCUCACCCAGCACGGGGCUGAGCCAGUGUCUGUCUCCCUGGAAUUGCGGGACUGCGUGAGGACCCGUCCGGGCCUGGGACCCAGCUCUCCUGGCUGCCGUCCUCCCUGCAUAGGACUUACACGAGGGGGUCUCACAAAGCUGAGCGCAUGGAACUCCCAUUCUGUGAAGAGAGAAGUUCUGAAAAGCCUUUCUGCUAACAAAUGCCUAGACAUUUGUUUAAAAUGAUGCAAACAUUUUUCAGUGUUCUGCUGAGGUCCGAACAAAGUGAGGGAAGUUCCCGGAGUGGAGCAAGAGAAGCUGAAGGCCAGAGGGCGGAGCGGGAGCUGCCCGGUGCCUGCACCUGCUGUCCCCAGGCUGAGCCAGGGCGCUGGGGACACAGACAGAACACAGGCCGCUGCCCUGAAUGACAGGCCAGGCUGUGAAGCCAGGAUGGACGGGACGUUCUGCAAACAGCUGCCUAAGACUCCCCAAAGUGUUGACGCCGGAAAAGGCAGCCAGACAACGUCUGAGGCACCGUCAGAAGAAGAAAGGGAGCUAGGAGACAUGAAAAGUAAAUGUCGCUUGAUCGAACCUUUGAUUUCAAUUAGAACUGUAAAGGCAAUUAUUGAGAUGAUUGCACAACUUCAGAUAUGGCUGUGUAGCAAUUGUGGGGUAGAACGUAAAAUUUCUGGCACGUGAUCACUUUAAUGUGGUUUUGUAAGAGUUUGUCUUAGGAGAUGCGUAUUAAAGUAUUUAGAAGUGUCACAAUGUCUGCAUCGCACUCUCAGAUGGUUUAGCCAAUAAAAAAAUACACAUGUGUAAAUAAACACACACACACUAGAGAGAGAAGGAGAGAGAUGAGACCCACAUGGCAAGGCAGGAAAUGUUAGCUAAUCUGGGUGAAGCUUAUAAAAAGGUUCACUCCACUGUUUUGCAAAUUUCCUGUAGCUUUGCCAAUUUAAAACGGGACGAAUGGGAAGGAAGAAAGCCUUCGUGAGCAGAGAGGGAGAACUGGAAGACGCAGAAGGCCACCAGGAGCCUGGGAACCACGGGGUGAGUCUUAAUAAGAUUUGACUGUAAAAAGCAAGGAUUAAAAUGACUAAAUUUUAGAGUAGGCUUAUGAACAAAAUAGAACUAAAAUGUCAGACAAAAAUAACCUGGGAGAAGGGCAAGGGCCGUCCAGGUGAACGCAUUCCGAGCCCCCGUGUUGUUGGGAGGAGGAGACGUCCCCGUCGAUGUGCUCACCAGGCAGGCCCGUGAACACGUAGGGAGCUCCCACCAGAACAGAAGGUGAUGGGUAAGUUCCGAAGUGCCGGAGGGGGCGCAAAGAAUAGAGAAAACUUGAUCGAUCCAAUAGAAAAUGGUGAAGGAGGAAAAACAACAUGAUAAAUAACACAAGAUAAGAUUGUAGAGAGAAAUCCCAAGUCACCCAUUAUUGCGAUAAAUGUAACUGAAUUUAAUUAUCGGUUAAAAUAGAAUCUCAGAUUGGAGUAAAAAGAACAGACACAGUGUAUAAGAACGUGUCUAAAAUAAAAUGACUUGAAAAAGGAAAGCAAAGCGAUGCAAAAGUAACUCAGGAACACGCUGAACACGUGAAGACCAGGAACUAAGAGCCUUGAAAAGCUCAGAGCCAGAGGGAGGUCAGGCGGAACCACUUCCAAGAGAAGUCAGCGAAUCCCGGAGACUGGCGAGAGGUGGGUUCGGGUCUGCCUCCUACAGGUAAGGAGGGCAGGAGACAGCUGCCAUCGUAGGCUCACGGACGCCCUUCCAGAAGAACCUUGACACCCAGCGGGAGAGGCAGAGGGAAGGUGUGGAGGGAAGCACCGUGUGUGCACAGAUGUCAAGCCCUUCGCCGUCCCUCCGUCUAAAUCGCGCUUCUCUGCUGGGCUGUGCGACGCGGGGCUGGGAUUUGCAACCACAUUAUGCGUUGCCAGCUGCUCCCUGCUGGAGCCCGUUGACAGGGCCCCGGAGGGAGACUGCAGGCCAGCGAGACGCAGGGACACCUCCUCCUGGCCUGCUUCUUUCCCUGACAGCGCCAUCCAGCACGUGACUUCACCUCCAGCUCAUCCUGUCCCAGGAGCCUUGGCGGAGGCUGGUUUUCAGAGUUUUCCGUACACGCAGGACUGGCUCACAUGUCCCCUCCAAGGUCACGGCGGCAGCUGAGCCAUCUGACCUCAGCUCUGUGGGCCCCUCCAGGCUCCUGGGUUCCAGUCAUUCUGAUCUCUUCUCUGUCCUGCAGCCCUGGGGGCUGGGUCCCCUCGCCUGCGGUCUCCACCACCGUGAACUUCAGCUAACGCACGUGAGAACAGCGCCAGCACCCGCUCCACUUCAUCUCUCUGGCCCAAUGCUGGCCCUCCUGAAGGCCUGUGUGGAAGGGGUGGUUAACCCCACGGGGCCCACCCGUGCCGUCAGCUCCGUGCCCUGCUCUCCACAGGUGCCUGCACCUCACUCUUGGGGGGAGUCGGCUCCAUGGAGCCGGAAGCAGCAAGGUGGAUAAAUUAUUUCUCCAGAUAAUAAAAGCAUCAGCAUUAACACAAACCUACCCACACACCCUCCCUUUGUCUCUAAGGCGCCUCCUCCUGUGGCCCACACUCAGUACCCCCGUGACCUCGGCCCUGACCUCGGGCUUGUCCUCAGAGGCCACUCGCCAGUGCUCAUGGUGCCCGGGCGGUCCACACUAGCAGGACCGUCCUACACCGACUUCACAACGGGUAGUGGGACAGGACUCUGUCCCACCAAGUGAGACCCGAAAGCAAAGGGAAGCAUGAGGGCCGGACCCCAGAGAGACGAGAACCACCUGGGGGUGGACUGCGGCUGGUUCAACUUUCAUGAAGUAACUCACGUACCUAAACAUUCCCUGGAGGCUGACAGCAAAGAGCUGUCGUCCCCGUCCUCGGAGUGAGACAGACGAGCCGGCGGGAGGCAGGGGACGAGGACCUGGGCCACGAAGGACUGACACCACCCAGAAGGCUGAGCGGCUCUCACCCAGGAGGAGGUGUGACGAGUGCUGCUCCAAGGGGACUCCGUCGUGACGUCAGAGGGAGAGGACCACGGCCACUCCGGCGUCCUCCCAGGCGAGGCUGUGUGCCGCAGUUCGUCUCUGGAUCUGGAGUUUCCAGGCUGCCAUGGAAACCCUUCUAUUUUUAAAUCUUCUGUUGCAUACUACAGACAUAAACAAAUGCUCAGAGUGGGAGGAAGAGGAAACAGCGCUGCCCGAGUGUCAGGGUGGAAGAUGCCACGAAGCAAACAAGGAAGGCAAAGCCACUGGAAGACAUUCUCUGUGCAGCCAAGGCUCCAAGAGGAGCGCAGCAGCACAGGAGGGCAAGGGGACACGGCGACAUGGAAAGGCUCCAACAGCCUGCGGAGGAUGCCGUCUGGGCAAGGCCACGUGGACCAGCACCGGGUUGCCGGCCCCUGCUCUCGUGCGGUCUUCCUUCUAACUGGAAGGCAAGACACGCUCGCUCUCCAUAAAAAGACCACCUCCAGGAGAAGAGCAACACGACAGAAAGCGCCGGGAGUUCAGAGAAGGAGCUGCUGCGUGAGAAGUCCUGCUGAGGACAGAGACCGUCCUGGAAGACUGGGAGGACCAGGAUAAGCCAAGACAAGGGGGAGGUGCCGGCGUCGGCCCCACUGGCACAGAAGGAUAAUCAGGAAAAGCACCGUCCCCUCCACGUAAACAGGUGGCUGUGUCUCCCUUUGUCACAACAUUAUUCCAGUCUGAGCUCUCUCCCAUCAGCGGACUCCUCACCCUAGGGGACUUGGUGUGGGCGCAAACCCCUCGGCCUCGCACCCCGCUACUCACCCUUCCUUGGGAACCCAGAGCCAGCUUCUGGGGGGGACCCGGCCCCAUUCCUCUUCCUGCAGAACCUCUGGGGGAUUCUCACCAGCCCCAUCUCCCCACAGAGAACCUUCUCCGGCCAGACAACCUCCCACCUCACCCCUCAGAGGGAGGCCACCCCGCCAGGCUAGCGACCACAGCCCUGAGGCUGCUGCCGGGUGCGCCCUGCUGAGGGGGACCCAGAGCCUGGCGACCAGAACAGAGACCUCCUUGCCCCCCAGACUGGCCAACUUCAUCCCCUCUCUAGCGUUGGUACCCACUCCCAUAUGACAAAACCCUGGGAACAUGGCCAGCUCUUCUCCACAGAGGCAGGCUGGGAGUGCACAUGGCCACCCCCGUGCAGCCUGGGCUGACCUGUAAGGCACCCCCACGACCCCACUAACUCGUCCUGCUUUGCUUCUUGAGUGGUUCCCUCAGCAAAAAGAAUGUCUGCUCACACCCCUCCAAACGCUCACGCCUGCAGGGGGCUCCUGGCCCUGGUUCUUCAUGAACCUCUUACUGUCCUCAGUCACAGCCUCGGCGUGUUUAGGGCCCUGCCUCUGGGGCACCACGGUGGCAGUCCUCAUCCUGGGAACCUCCGAUUCCCAUAUGGGCUGUGGCCAAUCCAGACGGCACAUUUCUGCAAAGUACAAAAAGCCCCCCUUUCUCCUGGGCUCAUGCGCCCCACAACCCUCCCCAGGGCUUGGCAAGGUUCUCCAACUGGACCCCCGGCCGAGGCCGUGCAGUGGCCCCCACAGCGGGUCUGGGGUCCUGACUCCCACACUCCCCUGGGCCUCCUGCAAGGGGCCCAUGAAUCUAUUUGGUGUACGUCCUCCUUACUUAGGAAAUGCAGACUGUACUACCAGGCUGUGUUGGUCCUCGGCAAUGCUUUGGGGGAGACAGCUGCCUUUCUCUGCAGAAACAACCCCAUGAGAGCCUGGACACUCCGAACAACGCAGAACCUGCCUCAGUUGGCGUCCCUGGGGUCAGUUCCCAGUAGGAACUCUGCCUCACCCUGAAGACGCCUGGGGAUACAGGGACGCUGCCUUGUGAUGUGAGGAAGUGAUCUAGCAGGAGAGAGAUGAAAAGCAGUCUGCAAACAGCAAAGAGCUGUGGGGUCCACGUGGUCUGACGUCUGUCCAAUACUGUGCAGAAGGCCCUGGGCCUUGGCCAUAAGUCUUCACAGCAAGAGUGCUCAACCCUGGACCAGAGAUCACGGGAAAUUCUCGUGAGGCGGACACCGCCGUGGUUCUCCUCUGUCGGUCACAGUCCCUCUGAAACAAGAGGGCAGACCAGACCCAUGCAUCACAAGCUACUUAUCAUUGUAUUUGCAAUCAACGUGGCCUGAUACUUCUGCAAGAGCAAUCAAAGGGAAUUAUUUUUAAAUGACCGUGCACUUGACCAUCACAGCUGUGUCACAGCGUAUAGAGGCUUCUCAGUGCUCACGCUCAGUUCCCCUCCUCGUCCCACCUGCGAAUGGGCAUGGAUACCCCAAGCACACUGAGUAGCACAGGGUGACCUGUUCAGGGACCUUCACCCCGCCAGGCCCUAUUAUCACAGUCUGUGUACAUGAAGUUUACAUAGUUUUCAGGGCUGUAAUUUAGACUUUUAUUUGAGUCUUUUGAAUUUUUCCAAAUCUAGUGACUUUUUCCAUUUGCAGGAAUACAUUCAGUUGGUUUGAAUUAUCGUUUGCUUUGACUCAGGGAGAGAAGUUGGAAGUGUCAUGGGUGUGGGCCUGCGUGUCCUGCCCCCUGCCAGCACCCCCGCCAUGGAGGUCUUCUCAGGAGCACAGAGCCCCGCUCGUCAGUAUUGAUCAGUUCUGCAGUCUCUGGUCAGCUCAGAAUACCAGGAGCCUGUUUGUCCCUGAGGCAGCCUCCAAAGAUGGGCUGCCACACUGGGAGCAACCUGGGGACUCCCCAGGAGGAGGCCACAAAACGUCUGGAGUCAUGGGAGCUUCCUGGGCACAAUUACCCCUGCCUGCACUCCAGGAACUCUUAAAACUACGUAAGCUUCAUAUGCCUGCAGGACUGCUGACCCUUCUGGCUUUCCAAUCAUUCUACUUUCAUUUGUAUCAGCUGGAAAGUGGGUCCCAUUAAAUAAAAACCAGAGCAGCUGCGGCUCGGCCCCCACCCAAGCACCAGACUCAGCAGAGGUGCCAGAGGUUGCUAGUGCCGGCCCACCUCGUAGACACUGACAAGGGAGAGUGGAGCAAUAGCGGCGGUAGACACACACGUCCCCCUCUGGACUGCCCACACUGCCCUGAUGCUUUAUGUAAAUCGCCACCUUCAACCCAUCCAAAGCCCCCACGGCCUGCCCGCCGUUUUCAUCUCCCUCGUCCACUGUAUCCGGGUAAAACAGCGUCUUCUCUGAGGACAGGGCUGGGUCUCCUCCUG
rnacentral:lncRNA from 1 species